rnacentral:rRNA from 1 species
CCUACGGGAGGCAGCAGUGGGGAAUAUUGCGCAAUGGGCGAAAGCCUGACGCAGCGACGCCGCGUGAGGGAUGAAGGUCUUCGGAUCGUAAACCUCUGUCAGCAGGGAAGAACGGUCACUGUGCUAAUCAGCAGUGCAUUGACGGUACCUGCAAAGGAAGCACCGGCUAACUCCGUGCCAGCAGCCGCGGUAAUACGGAGGGUGCGAGCGUUAAUCGGAAUUACUGGGCGUAAAGCGCUCGUAGGCGGUAUGUCAAGUCAAGGGUGAAAUCCCCGCGCUCAACGUGGGAACUGCCUUUGAAACUGGCAAACUGGAGUGUGUGAGAGGAUAGUGGAAUGCCAGGUGUAGGAGUGAAAUCCGUAGAUAUCUGGAGGAACAGCAGUGGCGAAGGCGACUAUCUGGCACAUAACUGACGCUGAGGAGCGAAAGCGAGGGUAGCAAACAGGAUUAGAUACCCUUGUAGUC